CCUACGUGUGGCAGCAGUGAGGAAUAUUGGACAAUGGGCGCGAGCCUGAACCAGCCACGUAGCGUGAGGGAUGACUGCCCUCCGGGUUGUAAACUCCUUCUAUAAAGGAGUAAAGUGCGGCACGUGUGCCUUUUUGUAUGUCCUUUAUGAAUAAGGCUCGGCUAACUCCGCGCCAGCAGCCGCGGUAAUACGGAGGAUCAGAGCGUUAUCCGGAUUUAUUGGGGUGCAAGGGACCGUAGAUGGGUUGUUAAGUUAGUUGGGAAAGUUUGCGGCUUAACCGUGAAAAUGCCAUUGAUACUGGGAGGCUUGAGUGCAGGUGAGGUAGGUGGAAUUCGUAGUGUAGCGGUGAAAUGCGUAGAUAUCACGAAGAACUCCGAUUGCGAAGGCAGCUUACUAAACUGCAACUGACAUUGAUGCUCGAAAGUGUGGGGAGCAAACAGGAUUAGAUACCCUUGUAGUC
rnacentral:rRNA from 1 species